UAAACUGCCCUUUUCAGGGCAACCCAUUUUAAAAAAGAGAUUGAGU
rfam:Ciona savignyi cont_64358, whole genome shotgun sequence.